CCUACGGGUGGCAGCAGUGAGGAAUAUUGGUCAAUGGACGAGAGUCUGAACCAGCCAAGUAGCGUGAAGGAUGACUGCCCUAUGGGUUGUAAACUUCUUUUAUAUGGGAAUAAAACGUUCCACGUGUGGGAUUUUGUAUGUACCCUAUGAAUAAGGAUCGGCUAACUCCGUGCCAGCAGCCGCGGUAAUACGGGGGAUCCGAGCGUUAUCCGGAUUUAUUGGGUUUAAAGGGAGCGUAUGUGGAUUGUUAAGUCAGUUGUGAAAGUUUGCGGAUCAACCGUAAAAUUGCAGUUGAAACUGGCAGUCUUGAGUACAGUAGAGGUGGGCGGAAUUCGUGGUGUAGCGGUGAAAUGCUUAGAUAUCACGAAGAACUCCGAUUGCGAAGGCAGUUCACUGGACUGCAACUGACACUGAGGCUCGAAAGUGUGGGUAUCAAACAGGAUUAGAUACCCGUGUAGUC
rnacentral:rRNA from 1 species